GGAAGCGUGCCCGAGUAAGGACUACCUUGAUAGAGUAGACACGGAGCCAAACACUCCCGCCUCCC
rnacentral:tRNA from 2 species